rnacentral:rRNA from 1 species
GACGAACGCUGGCGGCGUGCUUAACACAUGCAAGUCGAACGGAAAGGCCCUGCUUUUGUGGGGUGCUCGAGUGGCGAACGGGUGAGUAACACGUGAGUAACCUGCCCUUCACUUUGGGAUAACUUCAGGAAACUGGGGCUAAUACCGGAUAGGAGCUCCUGCUGCAUGGUGGGGGUUGGAAAGUUUCGGCGGUUGGGGAUGGACUCGCGGCUUAUCAGCUUGUUGGUGGGGUAGUGGCUUACCAAGGCUUUGACGGGUAGCCGGCCUGAGAGGGUGACCGGCGACAUUGGGACUGAGAUACGGCCCAGACUCCUACGGGAGGCAGCAGUGGGGAAUAUUGCACAAUGGGCGGAAGCCUGAUGCAGCAACGCCGCGUGCGGGAUGACGGCCUUCGGGUUGUAAACCGCUUUCGCCUGUGACGAAGCGUGAGUGACGGUAAUGGGUAAAGAAGCACCGGCUAACUACGUG